AUGAAGGUACGACAUUUUUUUAGACGAAGUUGUUGUACCGCUCGUUCAGUGAUGAAUGUUGAUUCUGAACCAGGAUCUAGCAGCGCUCUCAAACUGAUGAAUUCUCCGUUGGCUGAUUGUAUUUGGAUGACUGCUGUAGCAAGUAACACCAUAGUACUCAAGGGAUUUGCGACGUGAUAAUUUUGAUAAAUUUGCGAAGUGGCAGCUUGGCUAGUACUCGGAUUGAAUGGUUUCGCGUUUGGAUUAAUCUGCGCAUUCGAUGUAGCUGAAUUAAAACUGGAACAAUUCGCUUGAUUGGAUUGUGAAUUUUGAGAAUUUUGGCUGAAAUUAGAAUUUUGAGCAAUAAGAGAACUGUGCAAAAGCGUGUGAUGUUUUUGGUUGCAGUGAAAACACCGUUUUUCACUAGGACAUUGAAACGUUUUGUGAUUGAACAUCCAGCUUCAAAAAUGAGUGGCACGAACGAAGUGAAUGCUGACCCUUGUGGCAUACUGCGCAGCUAUACUUCUGCUUCUUCACCGACUUCAUAUGCAGCACCUUUGGUUUCAGCUUCAACUGUUCCUUACUCGAACCCGAGUUAACCUUGGGUUUGGAGUUCUGCUGACAAACAACCUCUAAAGAACGAAACCUAGUUGUCAAAAAGGUUGAAAAUUCUCUAAAGGAGAGUGAAAAUAAUUACAACAUCCCAACUAUCUACAGGAACACCUAAAUUCUUCAAAGCAUGAAGCACCUCUGUUGACUUGUCUAAGAGGCCCUUGAUGGAAUCUGCUGUUUCAACACUGACUGCCGGCUGAUCGAAAAAUGUUUUAAGCUGAGUGGUGACCAAAAUCCGCUUAUGGUCGUAACGCGUUACCAAAAUUGACCAUGCCUGGUCAUAAUUGUCAUUGUUGACCUCGAGACAGUGAUGAAUUGCUAUGGAUUAAAGAGACGAAGAGAUCGUGAAAUGGACGCCAAUUGUCAUAAUCCCCAUAGAACGUUGGGGGAGUUAUCGCAGGAAGUCUUAUUUCACGGAAGUUUGAUGAUUUAGCCGCGUUAUUCAAAAAAGAUUCCCGCCGAUUAUGGGAUUUGGCACCAUCCUUACUUUCAUCUCUGGAAUUUUCACCAAAUUGCAAACUAUCUAACCUAUCUAACUCAUCUAAAAUACCAGCUUUGUACGACAGGCAAGUUUCCAUAGUAUCAUCGUACUUUUCCUCACACUCAUCUAAAACUGUUUCAUCUUCUUCGGCGCCUUGAAAAGCAUCGUACAACUCGCAUACUUUUCUAAAAUUUUCUUCUAGAAUAUUCAAAUGUCCUAUCAAGUAAUUCUUAGUUUUCUGUUCAGGUUUCAAAUUUCUGAACUUUGCGCUAUUUUUCAAAAUUUGUGAACAUGUCUUAUUGAAAACCUUUAAUUCCACUGAAUCACUCA